rnacentral:tRNA from 1 species
GCCGGAUUAGCUCAUCUGGUAGAGCGCGGGCUUUGUAACCCCGAGGCGACCCGUUCGAGUCGGGUAUCCGGCACCA